rnacentral:rRNA from 1 species
AGCGAACGCUGGCGGCAUGCCUAACACAUGCAAGUCGCACGGGGGGGCUUCGGCCUCCCAGUGGCGGACGGGUGAGGAACGCGUAGGGACCUGUCGAGGGGUGGGGGAUAACCGCGGGAAACUGCGGCUAAUACCGCAUGACGCCGCGGCGUGACAGCCGGGGCCAAAGGCGAAAGCCGCCCGCCGAGGGGCCUGCGUCCGAUUAGCUGGUUGGCGGGGUAGCGGCCCACCAAGGCGUCGAUCGGUAGCUGGUCUGAGAGGGUGAUCAGCCACACCGGGACUGAGACACGGCCCGGACUCCUACGGGAGGCAGCAGUGGGGAAUAUUGGACAAUGGGCGCAAGCCUGAUCCAGCAAUGCCGCGUGGGUGAAGGAGGUCUUCGGAUUGUAAAGCCCUUUCGGCGGGGACGAUGGUGACGGUACCCGCAGAAGAAGCCCCGGCUAACUUCGU